CUCCCUGUCCACAUAUGGCCUUUCCUUUAUACAGGUCUGAGGAUCCUAGCGAUGCUGGUUAUGGCCUUAUGCGCAGCAUCUCAUUUUACCUUCUUUGCUACUGAGAUCCCGUCACCAAGUAGAGUCACAUUCUGAGCUAUGAGAGGUUUAUACCUCAGGACGUGGCAAUGUGGGUGCAUGGGGCUAAUUGUGUGUUUCUUAGUUUGGUAGAGAGAUAACCUCACCUUAGGAGGCCCCCAGAAUUUUUAGGGGGUCUUCUGUUGAUGUUUCUGAGGAAUCUCAAAAUUGUUGGGCUACUGUGACAAUCUGAUAGAUCAGUGGUUCUCAACCUUCCUAGGGCUGCAACCUAUUAAUACAGUUCCUCAUGCUGUGGUGACUCCCUCAAACAUAAAAUUAUUCUUGCUGCUACUUUGUAACUUUAAUUUUGCUACAGUUAUGAAUCCAUGUUUUCUGAUGGUCUUAGGUGAACCCUGCAGAACGGUCAUUUGACCCCUCCAAGGGGGUCACAACCCAUCGGUUGAGAACCACUGUGGUAAUACUUUAAUUUCAUCUUUUGUGUCUCCUGAUACAAAAUGGUUUUGGGGGUUAAGAUAGGGCCUCAUGUAAUCCAACCUUCUAAUCCUCUUGCCUCUACUUUCCGAGUUCUGGGAAUAAGCAUGUGCUAUCAUUCCCCACACCAUUUUUUUUUUUGAGUUAUUUAAUGGGAAAUAAAACUUCAGUGUAAUUUCUUUUAGUAUGUCCAAGUUGACUGACUCAAGGGCCUUUGUUGUUUAUCACUUUUCUGAUUAGGCAAAAAGCACAAACUUGGGGACAGCUGAUAAUGUAGUUACUCAAUAGGUUUGUUCUGUCUAAAGGCAGAAAGUAUGUACUGGACAUACGUGGUAUGAGAAUAUACCAGCCCAGACACGGAACAGUAAGGGCUUUUCUAACCUUUUCCUUGCGGUCAGCAUUAGUUGGCAGAGAGCUGAAGUUUGUCACAAGAGAGAGGACCACGGACAUGUUGCAAGACCUGGGUCUGCUCAGAAAGGCAUGGGUUGACAUCUUGCUAAAGCCCAACCAGUUUAGGAUGAAGCUUCUGGUUGGGAGCCCUCCCCUGUGGGUUUGGUCCCUGAUACACCAGGCCAUCACAUCUUCUCUCCUGCCGAUGACCCUGGAACUCAUCAAAGGGUAAUUUUGGUGUGUUAGUUACAUUUCUCGGUGUCAUGACAAAAGUAUCAGACUAGAAGCAACUUGAACAGAGGAACAGUUUGAGGGAGGGAUUAUAGUUCAUCACAGCAAUGGGAGAGGCUGCUGGUUAUAUUGCAUCUGCUGUCUGGAAGCCAAGCAUGAGUAGGAAGUAGGGCCAGUUUAUGGGCCUUCCUUUGCACUUCCUCCAUGUAGCCUUACUACACGGAGCCAUCACCUGGGGACCACGUGUUCAAACACACAAGCUAUGGGAGACAUUUUGUAUUCAAGCCACAAUAUUCAGUAAAAAAAAAAAAAAAAAAAAAAAAGGUCGGAAAAAAAGACACAUAUGAAUGCCAUUAGAAUUCGAUGUGUUAAUAUUCUGAGAUGCUUCAUGCAUUGCCUAGGGCGCAGUGAUGGCUAUUCAACCUCAGUUUUAUGUCUGUUAUGCUGGCAGUGAGUUGUACAUAUGUGGACAAACCAGACAUCUCUGCCUGUGUGCAAUUUGAGGACCUAGGGAAGAGUGAGGGGAAUUAACAUGUAUAUACCGAUACACUGUGGCCAGAACAAGUCAGCUUUGUAGUAUCAAUGGGUCAGAGAGGAUUGAAGAGAAGGGAGAAGAAAUGGUGUAUGCUGAGACAAUUUGGCAAUUGUGUAGUUGGGAGUCUAAGCUUAUUGGGGAUUAGUUGGAAGCAAGGCUUAGUCAGCCAUGGCAAGGAGGUGGGGCAUUGGUCUGUGAGUAAUAGAAGCCAUCAGAGUUUCACACUGGAUGGUGGCAUGGUUGGGCCAGUCACGGAGUAGACAGUUACAGAGGGAGACUGACUUGGUGUGAUUCAGCAAUGGUUUAGGAAAUAAAUAAUGGGGACUUGUCAAGUGGUGUGAUGUGUACAUGCAUGUACAUUAAAAGUAUCAGGAGUGGGGACUUUUGGGAGGUGAUUCUGUUGGGAGGGUAGAGUUACAUAGCAGGUUGUCUGAGACCAUUUUUUAAAAAGAAAUCCAGUUAACAGCAUUUAUGGAAGAAAAUGGCAACAUAUUUUAAAAUGUGUUGGUCUUGCUUUACAGAGUUCCUUGAAUGUGACUAUGUUGCUUCAUCCACAGCUGAACGAUUUUGGAUGUUGGGUUCUAGGUCCUGGCUGUUGCUGGUCUGCUAGGAUCCAGGGCCUUGUUGACAUCUGGGAAGAUGUAAAUUGUCCCGCUGAAAGCCUCAGUUUUAGAUGUGGCCACUAGAUGGAGCCAGAGCACUGGUAUGAAGGAGCACCAGGGCCGUGUAAGGCAAAAGAGGACCCAGAAAAAGAAACUUAACUUGUUCACUCCUGAGAAACCUGCAAGUCAACAAGCCAAGGAAGUGCCUUUGCAUGCAUUUGGUAGCCUUUCCAAUCCCGCUUAUUACAUAAUAUGUUCAUGUUCAUGGCAAAAAAAAAAAAAUAAAAUAAAUAAAAAAGGAAAACAAAAUAAAAAAAAUCUUAGAACAUUGA